rnacentral:rRNA from 1 species
UACGUAGGGUGCGAGCGUUAAUCGGAAUUACUGGGCGUAAAGCGUGCGCAGGCGGCUUCGCAAGUCAGACGUGAAAUCCCCGGGCUUAACCUGGGAAUGGUGUUUGAAACUACGGAGCUGGAGUGUGGCAGAGGGAGGUAGAAUUCCACGUGUAGCGGUGAAAUGCGUAGAUAUGUGGAGGAAUACCGAUGGCGAAGGCAGCCUCCUGGGCCAACACUGACGCUCAUGCACGAAAGCGUGGGGAGCAAACAGG